AGGAGGAUGCAGCAUUCAAGGUUCUAUCUUGGAAGCAGAGACUGUGCCCUCACCAGAUGCUGAACCUGCUGAGCACCCUGAUCUUCCACUUCACCUUCAUCAGAACUACUGUUUGCUGUGAUUGCACCUGCCAUCUUAUGCAGAAAUGACCUGAAGACAGAUUGAAACAACGUGUUCUACAGCCUGAAAAUAUCUACCUUGACUUACAGUUUUAUUAAUGCUGGUGUGAUCAGACUGGACAAAAAUUAGCAUAUGUUAUUAACUAAUCUAAUUCAAAUGCCAA
rnacentral:lncRNA from 1 species